AUUGAACGCUGGCGGCAUGCCUUACACAUGCAAGUCGAACGGUAACAGGUCUUCGGAUGCUGACGAGUGGCGAACGGGUGAGUAAUACAUCGGAACGUGCCUAGUAGUGGGGGAUAACUACUCGAAAGAGUGGCUAAUACCGCAUGAGAUCUACGGAUGAAAGCAGGGGAUCGCAAGACCUUGCACUACUAGAGCGGACGAUGGCAGAUUAGGUAGUUGGUGGGAUAAAAGCUUACCAAGCCGACGAUCUGUAGCUGGUCUGAGAGGACGAUCAGCCACACUGGGACUGAGACACGGCCCAGACUCCUACGGGAGGCAGCAGUGGGGAAUUUUGGACAAUGGGCGAAAGCCUGGUCCAGCAAUGCCGCGUGCAGGAUGAAGGCCUUCGGGUUGUAAACUGCUUUUGUACGGAACGAAAAGCCCUGGGUUAAUACCCUGGGGUCAUGACGGUACCGUAAGAAUAAGCACCGGCUAACUACGUGCCAGCCGCCGCAGUAA
rnacentral:rRNA from 1 species